UGCAAGUCGAACGAACUCUGGUAUUGAUUGGUGCUUGCAUCAUGAUUUACAUUUGAGUGAGUGGCGAACUGGUGAGUAACACGUGGGAAACCUGCCCAGAAGCGGGGGAUAACACCUGGAAACAGAUGCUAAUACCGCAUAACAACUUGGACCGCAUGGUCCGAGUUUGAAAGAUGGCUUCGGCUAUCACUUUUGGAUGGUCCCGCGGCGUAUUAGCUAGAUGGUGAGGUAACGGCUCACCAUGGCAAUGAUACGUAGCCGACCUGAGAGGGUAAUCGGCCACAUUGGGACUGAGACACGGCCCAAACUCCUACGGGAGGCAGCAGUAGGGAAUCUUCCACAAUGGACGAAAGUCUGAUGGAGCAACGCCGCGUGAGUGAAGAAGGGUUUCGGCUCGUAAAACUCUGUUGUUAAAGAAGAACAUAUCUGAGAGUAACUGUUCAGGUAUUGACGGUAUUUAACCAGAAAGCCACGGCUAACUACGUGCCAGCAGCCGCGGUAAUACGUAGGUGGCAAGCGUUGUCCGGAUUUAUUGGGCGUAAAGCGAGCGCAGGCGGUUUUUUAAGUCUGAUGUGAAAGCCUUCGGCUCAACCGAAGAAGUGCAUCGGAAACUGGGAAACUUGAGUGCAGAAGAGGACAGUGGAACUCCAUGUGUAGCGGUGAAAUGCGUAGAUAUAUGGAAGAACACCAGUGGCGAAGGCGGCUGUCUGGUCUGUAACUGACGCUGAGGCUCGAAAGUAUGGGUAGCAAACAGGAUUAGAUACCCUGGUAGUCCAUACCGUAAACGAUGAAUGCUAAGUGUUGGAGGGUUUCCGCCCUUCAGUGCUGCAGCUAACGCAUUAAGCAUUCCGCCUGGGGAGUACGGCCGCAAGGCUGAAACUCAAAGGAAUUGACGGGGGCCCGCACAAGCGGUGGAGCAUGUGGUUUAAUUCGAAGCUACGCGAAGAACCUUACCAGGUCUUGACAUACUAUGCAAAUCUAAGAGAUUAGACGUUCCCUUCGGGGACAUGGAUACAGGUGGUGCAUGGUUGUCGUCAGCUCGUGUCGUGAGAUGUUGGGUUAAGUCCCGCAACGAGCGCAACCCUUAUUAUCAGUUGCCAGCAUUAAGUUGGGCACUCUGGUGAGACUGCCGGUGACAAACCGGAGGAAGGUGGGGAUGACGUCAAAUCAUCAUGCCCCUUAUGACCUGGGCUACACACGUGCUACAAUGGAUGGUACAACGAGUUGCGAACUCGCGAGAGUAAGCUAAUCUCUUAAAGCCAUUCUCAGUUCGGAUUGUAGGCUGCAACUCGCCUACAUGAAGUCGGAAUCGCUAGUAAUCGCGGAUCAGCAUGCCGCGGUGAAUACGUUCCCGGGCCUUGUACACACCGCCCGUCACACCAUGAGAGUUUGUAACACCCAAAGUCGGUGGGGUAACCUUUUAGGAACCAGCCGC
rnacentral:rRNA from 1 species